CUCGGCCUAGCCGUCUCUCUUCUUCACCGCCUGGUAAAUCCCAUAACAAACAGUUAACACGUUUAACAGCAAACGCUCAUGGCCUCCCAGUCACGAAAAGGCGGAGUGUCACUGCCGGCAAGGCGAGGCUCAAAGCCGAAAUCAGAGCCCACUAUCCUUGCCAAGCUCACUAACUCUGAAAUCGUGUCUAAAGGCAAGCGAGCUACAUGCGACGCUGUUUUCGUUACUAAGAAGCUCCUACGCAGCACCGGCAAGGCUGCGUGGAUCGCCGGUACCACCUUCUUAAUCCUGGUGGUGCCUCUUAUCGUUGAGAUGGACCGCGAGCAGCAGUUGAACGAGCUCGAGAUCCAGCAGCAAAGCCUCCUCGGAGCCCCGCCUGUUGGGGCACCCCAAAAGUGAAUGAAAAAUGGAUCGAGUCAGGUCAGGAAUACUCUUUUUGUCGAUGUUUAAUGAAUCCUCUUUAUGUGAUAUGUAGUGUCUCUUGGCGAUUGGGAUUUUGAGAUACAAUAAUUAUUUUUGUCAUUUUAAUCCCUUUUUAACUUUUAAGUUUUGCUCUCAAUGGUUAAACUGGAUUUCAG
rnacentral:misc_RNA from 1 species